UGACGAGGAGCUUGCUCCUCUGAUCAGUGGCGAACGGGUGAGUAACACGUGAGCAACCUGCCCCAGACUCUGGGAUAACAGUUGGAAACAGCUGCUAAUACCGGAUACGAGACGGAGAGGCAUCUCUACCGUCUGGAAAGUUUUUCGGUCUGGGAUGGACUCGCGGCCUAUCAGCUAGUUGGUGAGGUAAUGGCUCACCAAGGCGACGACGGGUAGCCGGCCUGAGAGGGCGACCGGCCACACUGGGACCGAGACACGGCCCAGACUCCUACGGGAGGCAGCAGUGGGGAAUAUUGCACAAUGGGCGAAAGCCUGAUGCAGCGACGCCGCGUGAGGGAUGACGGCCUUCGGGUUGUAAACCUCUUUCAGCAGGGAAGAAGCGAAAGUGACGGUACCUGCAAAAGAAGCACCGGCUAACUACGUGCCAGCAGCCGCGGUAAUACGUAGGGUGCGAGCGUUGUCCGGAAUUAUUGGGCGUAAAGAGCUUGUAGGCGGUUUGUCGCGUCUGCAGUGAAAAUCCGAGGCUCAACCUCGGACUUGCUGUGGGUACGGGCAGACUAGAGUAUGGUAGGGGAGACCGGAAUUCCUGGUGUAGCGGUGGAAUGCGCAGAUAUCAGGAGGAACACCGAUGGCGAAGGCAGGUCUCUGGGCCAUAACUGACGCUGAGAAGCGAAAGCAUGGGGAGCGAACAGGAUUAGAUACCCUGGUAGUCCAUGCCGUAAACGUUGGGCGCUAGGUGUGGGGCUCAUUCCACGAGCUCCGUGCCGCAGCUAACGCAUUAAGCGCCCCGCCUGGGGAGUACAGCCGCAAGGCUAAA
rnacentral:rRNA from 1 species